rnacentral:lncRNA from 11 species
GUCAGCUCUAGCUUUCCAUGUGGGGACAUGAGAGAAGCUUCCCACAGGAUGGUAAAACAUCAAACAUCAUGCUGUCCUGGGUUACAUCCUUGCAGAUGGCCAAUUUUCUUGCAUAUCUUUAAUUUACUAGCUUAGAUUUGAGUUUAGCUUGCAAAGUUGUUAUAACUUUGUGUUUUAUUGUGGUACUCUUGUUGUCCUACACGAACUUAACUCAUAUUGGAUUUCUAAUAGUAGAACCGGUGUUUUCAGAAGAACUGGAUGGGGGGUGAGCCCCCCCCCCAAAAAAAACAAAACAAAAAAACAAACAAACAAAAAACCUCAGUCUUCCAUGCAAUCCCUGAAUCAGGACUGGAAAACCUCUGAAGCAAAUUUGGACAGUGCACAGGGCAACCACCAACAGAUCAUUAUAUUUGACCCUGAAAUCUUUACUUAUUUAUAUAUCUGUUAUUCUCUUGUGACGUUUUCAGAUUGUGAGCAGACUAGUUCAAAUUCGUGACUAUAUUGCAAAAGCCAGUUCCAUGCGAGAUGAUCUUGUUGAGAAAAAUGAGAGAUCUGCUAAUGUUGAGCGCUUAUCACAUCUCAUAAAUCAUCUGAAAGAUCAGGAGAAAUCUUACCUGAAAUUUUUACAGAAGAUACUAGCUAGAAAGAAUGAGGAGGAGGAUGGUCGAACUGUAGAUUCAGCUGUGGGAUCUGGUUCUGUAGCUGAGAGCACAUCGCUAAACAUAGAUGUGCAGUCUGAAGUUUCAGAUACAACGGAAGCUUCUUUUAGCCUGGGACCUCGACCCGGCAUUGAGGACAAACUAGGGAAUUCAACUUCUCAAGGACAGGUUUCAGACAUGGAUGAUACAGGAAGUCCAAAAGUGAGAUGUGACAGAGCUGCCCUGAAUGGCAGCUGGCCUAGUAGGAUUAAUAACCAAGAACCUGGAUUGCCCUCAAAGGCUAGAGAUCCUCAGCAAGAAGCUACAGAAGAACUUGUAAAUUUAAAGAAGCAACAUGAUUUACUAAAGAGGAUGUUACAACAGCAGGAACAAUUGAAAGCUCUUCAAGGGAGGCAAGCUGCUCUUCUUGCUCUACAGCAUAAAGCAGAACAGGCUAUUGCUGUCAUGGAUGAUUCUGGUAUGCUCUUGUUAUAUACCUGAACAGAAGUUCUCCUUCAGUAACACAGGCUACCCUCCACCCCACCCCACC